UGUUAAAAAUUUCAUUCACUUGUACUAUUAAAAACUAACGUGGUUGAUGGAAUAACCAGACAUUGACACGUGAUAUGUCACAUGUACCUCAUAUUGAUGUAUAAGGAUCAGUUUUUAACAGUAGAAAGUGAUGAAAUUUUUAACA
rfam:Gossypium hirsutum cultivar TM-1 chromosome 17, whole genome shotgun sequence